GACGAACGCUGGCGGCGUGCCUAAUACAUGCAAGUCGAGCGGACCGAACAGGAGCUUGCUCUUGUUCGGUUAGCGGCGGACGGGUGAGUAACACGUGGGUAACCUGCCCGUAAGACCGGGAUAACUCCGGGAAACCGGAGCUAAUACCGGAUAACACCGAAGACCGCAUGGUCUUUGGUUGAAAGGCGGCUUCGGCUGCCACUUACGGAUGGGCCCGCGGCGCAUUAGCUAGUUGGUGAGGUAACGGCUCACCAAGGCGACGAUGCGUAGCCGGCCUGAGAGGGUGACCGGCCACACUGGGACUGAGACACGGCCCAGACUCCUACGGGAGGCAGCAGUAGGGAAUCUUCCGCAAUGGACGAAAGUCUGACGGAACGACGCCGCGUGAGCGAAGAAGGUCUUCGGAUCGUAAAGCUCUGUUGUUAGGGAAGAAGAAGCGUCGUUCGAACAGGGCGGCGCGGUGACGGUACCUAACGAGAAAGCCCCGGCUAACUACGUG
rnacentral:rRNA from 1 species